rnacentral:rRNA from 1 species
ACGUACACUCCUGCGGGAGGCAGCAGUGGGGAAUAUUGGACAAUGGGCGCAAGCCUGAUCCAGCCAUGCCGCGUGAGUGAUGAAGGCCCUAGGGUUGUAAAGCUCUUUCACCGGUGAAGAUAAUGACGGUAACCGGAGAAGAAGCCCCGGCUAACUUCGUGCCAGCAGCCGCGGUAAUACGAAGGGGGCUAGCGUUGUUCGGAUUUACUGGGCGUAAAGCGCACGUAGGCGGACUAUUAAGUCAGGGGUGAAAUCCCGGGGCUCAACCCCGGAACUGCCUUUGAUACUGGUAGUCUUGAGUUCGAGAGAGGUGAGUGGAAUUCCGAGUGUAGAGGUGAAAUUCGUAGAUAUUCGGAGGAACACCAGUGGCGAAGGCGGCUCACUGGCUCGAUACUGACGCUGAGGUGCGAAAGCGUGGGGAGCAAACAGGAUUAGAAACCUGGUAGUCCCAUGAU